GGGGCUGUGGUGCAACUUGGCUAACAUUGGCCCUUGGGGUGGGUCCGAUCCGGGUUCAAAUCCUGGCAGCCCCA
rnacentral:tRNA from 1 species